rnacentral:lncRNA from 1 species
UGUCCUCCUGGUAAAAUAGAGUGAGUUUUUGUUGAAACAAUGGUUUAGUCCAUGGAAGUAUUGAAAAUAGAGCGAGUUACUGAAAUUUUCAUGGGUUAGUUAAAACAGAUGGAGAUUUAAGAGUAAAUAUUUCAUCAAAAAAUAGACUCAAUAAGAAAAAAAGCAAUAUUAUUUUAAAAUAUCUAAUAAGCAUGUAUUUUUUUAACUCAACAUAAGACAUUUGUACUUUACGAUUCUCGUUACCAAAGAUCAAAUGUGAAGGUAUUUAAUAUAAUAUUGGCUGGAUAAAAAAAUUGCAUGGUUGACAAAAAAAAAAUUGCAUGAAAGAAAUGACAUCCAAAAACUUAUAUUUGAUAUAAUAAAAUAAAUAAGCAAAUGACAUUCAAAAACUAAAAUAACAGUUCAUCAUAAUGUUUGGAGUUCUCAAGGGGCCUACAAUGGGUUGGGCAAUCACAUUAGACUAAGAGAAUCCCCACAAGGUGAGAUUGACACACAUCUUCACCAAAAAUUCUAAGAGGGAUGUUUGUAUUGUUUCUUUCAUCAGAAGAGAUAAAGUAAAUUAGUAAAGGAAAGCAGGUGAAAAAUGAAUUUGAACUUGAGAGAAAUGAUAAAAGAUAAAUAUAAGGAGAGUGUGUUUUAUCUGUGAGAGUAUAGAGAGAGUAUAUAAAAUAUAAUGAUUU